GGGGAUGUGGCUCAAGGGGUAGCGCGCUCGCCUGGCAUGUGUGCGUCCUGGGUUCGAUCCUCAGCACCACA
rnacentral:tRNA from 1 species